rnacentral:rRNA from 1 species
AUUGAACGCUGGCGGCAGGCCUAACACAUGCAAGUCGAACGAGUGGCGGACGGGCGAGCAAUGCUUGGGAAUCUAGCUUAUGGAGGGGGAUAACUACGGGAAACUGUAGCUACUACCGCGGACCACAGGAUGAGCCCAAGUGGGAUUAGGUAGUUGGUGGGGUAAAGGCACACCAAGCCGACGAUGUCUAGCUGGUCUGAGAGGAUGACCAGCCACACUGGGACUGAGACACGGCCCAGACUCCUACGGGAGGCAGCAGUGGGGAAUAUUGCGCAAUUGGGGCAACCUGACGCAGCCAUGCCGCGUGAGUGAAGAAGGCCUUCGGGUUGUAAAGUUCUUUCGGUAGCGAGGCGUUAACUACAGAAGAAGCACCGGCUAACUCCGUGCCAGCAGCCGCGGUAAUUC